rnacentral:rRNA from 1 species
CAAGUCGAACGCGAAAGUGGAGCAAUCCAUGAGUAGAGUGGCAAACGGGUGAGUAACGCGUGGGUGACCUGCCUUCGAGUGGGGGAUAACGUUCCGAAAGGGACGCUAAUACCGCAUGACAUCCGGCCUUUGAAGAGGCGGAGAUCAAAGCUGGGGAUCGCAAGACCUAGCGCUCGAUGAGGGGCCCGCGUCUGAUUAGCUAGUUGGUGGGGUAACGGCUCACCAAGGCAACGAUCAGUAUCCGGCCUGAGAGGGCGGACGGACACACUGGGACUGAGACACGGCCCAGACUCCUACGGGAGGCAGCAGUGGGGAAUUGUUCGCAAUGGGCGCAAGCCUGACGACGCAACGCCGCGUGGAGGAUGAAGAUCUUCGGGUCGUAAACUCCUUUCGAUCGAGACGAACAGCCUUCGGGUAAACAAUCCGGAGGUCUGACGGUACCGAGAGAAGAAGCCCCGGCUAACUCCGUGCCAGCAGCCGCGGUAAUACGGGGGGGGCAAGCGUUGUUCGGAAUUACUGGGCGUAAAGGGCUCGUAGGCGGCCAACUAAGUCAGACGUGAAAUCCCUCGGCUUAACCGGGGAACUGCGUCUGAUACUGGAUGGCUUGAGUUUGGGAGAGGGAUGCGGAAUUCCAGGUGUAGCGGUGAAAUGCGUAGAUAUCUGGAGGAACACCGGUGGCGAAGGCGGCAUCCUGGACCAACACUGACGCUGAGUGAGCGAAAGCCAGGGGAGCAAACGGGAUUAGAUACCCCGGUAGUCCUGGCCCUAAACGAUGAAUGCUUGGUGUGGCGGGUAUCGAUCCCUGCCGUGCCGAAGCUAACGCAUUAAGCAUUCCGCCUGGGGAGUACGGUCGCAAGGCU